AAUUUUCGAUAUUAAUUCAAAUAAAAAUACAAGACUGAAGAUGCAGGCACACUUCUGUGUUGUGUUAUGUCGUAAAAGCACAAGGAAUUAAAGAAUUAGUUCGAACAUGCACUCGAGUCUAUUAUGUCGCUCUAUUAUGUCGCUGUA